rnacentral:rRNA from 1 species
AGAAAAGAUAGAGCAACAUGGACUAAUGGUCGCACAUGUUUUCUUGUGUCGAUGAUGAAAGAGUAUUCAGAUGUGGGAAAGUACCGUGCCCAAAAUGGGUGGACCAAGGAAGGAUGGCAAGGUAUGAAAACCCGCCUAAAUGAGAGGCCUCCUGGAGCUAAUUUCACUAUUCAACAGCUGAAAAAUAGAGAGCAAAGGCUGGAGAAGGAACUUAAUGUCGUCAAGUCUAUUGUACAAAAGAGUGGUUUUGGUGGGGAUCCCCGGAACAAAGUGCCGACGGCACUAGAUGAAAAAUGGGUGGACCUAUCCAGCGAACAGCGCAAGUGGAGAUACAAACAAUUCCCCUAUUACGAUGUUUUAUAUGAAACUUAUGAAGGUCAAAUGGCAGAAGGGAAGCAUUGCAAAAGGACAACCGAUGGUAUUGAAGAGAGGAAUAAUAUGUCCCAUUUUCCUGAACAUGCAAGUUAUACUGAUGAUGUUUUGAGGGCUGCUGAUAUGAAUUCUCUCGAGGAAACACUACCUGCUCUAGGAUCAUCAAUGCCAGAAUAUGAUCUGGGCAGAGAUAUAUGGGGAUGA